UACGGGGGGGGCUAGCGUUACUUGGAUUAAAUGGGCGUAAAGGAUGCGUAGGCAAGUUCGAUGAAGUAAACAAAAAGUCCAGUAGUACCACUGGAAGAGUUUAUUCACCGUUGAACAUUGGAGUUUAGUAGAGGUUGAGGGAACUUUCGGAGGAGGGGUACAAUGCUUCGAUACCGCGAGGAACGCCGAAGGCGCAGGCACUUUUCCAGACUAACUGACGUUGAGGCAUGAAGGUGUGGGGAUCAAACGGG
rnacentral:rRNA from 1 species